GCGAGAGUGGCGGAAUUCGGUAGACGCGCUGGAUUUAGGUUUCAGUAGGGUAAUUCCUGUGAGAGUUCAAAUCUCUCCUCUCGCA
rnacentral:tRNA from 2 species